rnacentral:tRNA from 1 species
GGGGUGAGCUCAGUGGUAGAGCUCUUGCCCAGUUUGUCUGAGGCCCUGGGUUCAAACCCCAGCACCACA